CAAGUGAAAAGUGGACAGGCACGAUUGUUAUUAAGGACUAGAGAAACUUGCAAAUGACCAAAUGCAUGUGAAAUCAUUACUUCCAUUUGCUCCCUCUGAUAUUUCAAUUUUCAAUCUAACUUUGUUACUUUAAGGUCUUCCAUCUCCUGCAGUUGUAAUUUCUGACACCCUUUCCUCUGCUUCAGAGGCAAGCAGCUGAGGGUGGAUUCCAAGGGAGAGCUAACAAGCCUAGUGACACAUGCUAUGCAUUUUGGGUUGGGGCAGUUUUGAGGUUCUCAGGAGGAUCCAAGUUGAUUGUUUGUUGGGAAAGCUUUGUGCAGAUUUUUGCUCACCUGUCAAUCUGACGUACUGAUGCUUGUCCUUCCACUUGGUCAACUUGCCUGUGGUCGAUAUAUGAUACAGUUGAUAUAAAGCUCUCCCAAGGGCUGUUAUUCACAUGUCCUCCGCAUAUGUUUGAUUGUGGGUCUUCCCCUAAUACACCAAAAAAUGGAAACUGCAUGACUGGUGUUGAAACAGAAUGGAGAAUAUAUCUGUUAAUCCCUGAAAACUCCCAGGGGAAACGAAUGUAUUUCUGACAAAAAAAAUCAAAGACAAAAUAGAGGUAAAAAGUAUGGUGCCACCCAUAAGCUGUCAACAGUAGCUAUCACUCGUGUUCAUAAAUGUGAAUUGUCAUGUGCCAUGUGAAUGACAUCUCAGUGCUCCCUUGAUUA